GGAGCCAGCCGCCUAAGGUGGGAUAGAUGAUUGGGGUGAAGUCGUAACAAGGUAGCCGUAUCGGAAGGUGCGGCUGGAUCACCUCCUUU
rnacentral:rRNA from 5 species